UUUUUCAGCUGGACCAAAUCACUACUUUACUUUAAAAUUCAUGAAUCAAAUUUUUUCACAGUGUAAUUUUAUCCCCUACUUGCUAUUUGAGGCAUAAAACAUGAAGAAAUAAAUUUGGAAGGGGUAUAAAAAAGAUUGUCAAGUAACACACUGUCCACACUAGGGACUUUAUUUGUGGACAACGAAAAUCAAGGGACGAUAACUGUGUACUCAGACCUAAUAGGA
rnacentral:lncRNA from 1 species